rnacentral:misc_RNA from 1 species
AUUGCCAUUUUCACGAGAGGCAAGAUAAUCAUAAGAACGAUAGCUUUGGCUGUUGAAGAUUAGUCCCAAAGCGAAAUUUGCUGUGGCAUCGGCGAGCAAGUAACCCGACCAUAUCAGCAAGAUUGUAAUCUUGUAUGAAGUCCAUUUCCUUAACGGGGCUAAUCCAAUGAGAAUGAUCUGCAACAAGAGGCUGAACAGAACAGCUCCUCUGAUAUUCCAAUGUUCCCACACUCUCUUCACCCUAUCUGCGAUGGGACUAAACAUUUCCUCUGUUUGCUCUUCCUUCAGAUUGGAAUUCGAUGUGGAAAACUCAAGCG